ACGAACGCUGGCGGCGUGCUUAACACAUGCAAGUCGAGCGGUAAGGCCCUUUCGGGGGUACACGAGCGGCGAACGGGUGAGUAACACGUGGGUGACCUGCCCUUAGCUCUGGGAGUAAGCCUGGGAAACGUGGGUCUAAAUACCGGAUAUGACUCCAUGACGCAUGUUGUGGGGUGGAAAGCCUUGUGCGGCUAGGGAUGGGCCC
rnacentral:rRNA from 1 species